CAGAAGGGAGCUUGCUCCCGGAUGUUAGCGGCGGACGGGUGAGUAACACGUGGGUAACCUGCCUGUAAGACUGGGAUAACUCCGGGAAACCGGAGCUAAUACCGGAUAGUUCCUUGAACCGCAUGGUUCAAGGAUGAAAGACGGUUUCGGCUGUCACUUACAGAUGGACCCGCGGCGCAUUAGCUAGUUGGUGAGGUAACGGCUCACCAAGGCGACGAUGCGUAGCCGACCUGAGAGGGUGAUCGGCCACACUGGGACUGAGACACGGCCCAGACUCCUACGGGAGGCAGCAGUAGGGAAUCUUCCGCAAUGGACGAAAGUCUGACGGAGCAACGCCGCGUGAGUGAUGAAGGUUUUCGGAUCGUAAAGCUCUGUUGUUAGGGAAGAACAAGUGCAAGAGUAACUGCUUGCACCAUGACGGUACCUAACCAGAAAGCCACGGCUAACUACGUGCCAGCAGCCGCGGUAAUACGUAGGUGGCAAGCGUUGUCCGGAAUUAUUGGGCGUAAAGGGCUCGCAGGCGGUUUCUUAAGUCUGAUGUGAAAGCCCCCGGCUCAACCGGGGAGGGUCAUUGGAAACUGGGAAACUUGAGUGCAGAAGAGGAGAGUGGAAUUCCACGU
rnacentral:rRNA from 1 species